UACGUAGGGGGCAAGCGUUGUCCGGAAUUAUUGGGCGUAAAGAGCGCGUAGGCGGUCCGAUAAGUCGGCUGUGAAAGUCCAGGGCUCAACCCUGGAAAGCCGGCCGAUACUGUCGGACUAGAGUCCGGAAGAGGCAAGUGGAAUUCCCGGUGUAGCGGUGAAAUGCGCAGAUAUCAGGAGGAACACCGGUGGCGAAGGCGGGUCUCUGGGCCGAUACUGACGCUGAGGAGCGAAAGCGUGGGGAGCGAACAGG
rnacentral:rRNA from 1 species